rfam:Oryzias latipes DNA, chromosome8, strain: Hd-rR.
UCUGGUCAAAGUUCUGUGAUACACUCAGACUGUGAAUGUUUGCUGGUCAGUGCAUAACAGAACUUUGUCCCGGC